rnacentral:rRNA from 1 species
UGGAUGAUGUGGAUAAUUCGAUGCAACGCGAAGAACCUUACCUACCCUUGACAUGUCCGGAACUUGCCAGAGAUGGCUUGGUGCCCGAAAGGGAAUCGGAACACAGGUGCUGCAUGGCUGUCGUCAGCUCGUGUCGUGAGAUGUUGGGUUAAGUCCCGCAACGAGCGCAACCCUUAUCAUUAGUUGCUACGCAAGGGCACUCUAAUGAGACUGCCGGUGACAAACCGGAGGAAGGUGGGGAUGACGUCAAGUCCUCAUGGCCCUUAUGGGUAGGGCUUCACACGUCAUACAAUGGUCGGUACAGAGGGUUGCCAAGCCGCGAGGCGGAGCCAAUCCCACAAAGCCGAUCGUAGUCCGGAUUGUUCUCUGCAACUCGAGAGCAUGAAGUCGGAAUCGCUAGUAAUCGCAGGUCAGCAUACUGCGGUGAAUACGUUCCCGGGUCUU